rnacentral:rRNA from 1 species
AGGGCAAGUCUGGUGCCAGCAGCCGCGGUAAUUCCAGCUCCAAUAGCGUAUAUUAAAGUUGUUGCAGUUAAAAAGCUCGUAGUUGAAUUUCGGGGUCAGUAGGUUGGUCGUGCCACCGGUACGUACUGGUCUCACUGAUUCCUCCUUCCUGAUGAGCUGUAAUGCCAUUAAUUUGGUGUUGCAGGGAAUCUGGACUGUUACUUUGAAAAAAUUAGAGUGUUUAAAGCAGGCUAACGCUUGAAUACAUUAGCAUGGAAUAAUGAAAUAGGACGUUCGAUCCUAUUUUGUUGGUUUCUAGGAUUGACGUAAUGAUUAAUAGGGAUAGUUGGGGGCAUUAGUAUUCAAUUGUCAGAGGUGAAAUUCUUGGAUUUAUUGAAGACUAACUACUGCGAAAGCAUUUGCCAAGGAUGUUUUCAUUAAUCAAGAACGAAAGUUAGGGGAUCGAAGACGAUCAGAUACCGUCGUAGUCUUAACCAUAAACUAGG